UACGUAGGGUGCAAGCGUUAAUCGGAAUUACUGGGCGUAAAGCGUGCGCAGGCGGUUGUGUAAGUCUGUCGUGAAAUCCCCGGGCUCAACCUGGGAAUUGCGAUGGAGACUGCACGGCUAGAGUGUGUCAGAGGGGGGUAGAAUUCCCCGUGUAGCAGUGAAAUGCGUAGAUAUGUGGAGGAACACCGAUGGCGAAGGCAGCCCCCUGGGAUAACACUGACGCUCAUGCACGAAAGCGUGGGGAGCAAACAGG
rnacentral:rRNA from 1 species